UACGUAGGCAGCAAGCGUUGUUCGGAGUUACUGGGCGUAAAGGGUGUGUAGGCGGUUGUUUAAGUUUGGUGUGAAAUCUCCCGCUCAACUGGGAGGGUGCGCCGAAUACUGAAUGACUCGAGUGCGGGAGAGGAAAGUGGAAUUCCUGGUGUAGCGGUGAAAUGCGUAGAUAUCAGGAGGAACACCGGUGGUGUAGACGGCUUUCUGGACCGUAACUGACGC
rnacentral:rRNA from 1 species